rnacentral:rRNA from 1 species
AGAGCGAACGCUGGCGGCAGGCCUAACACAUGCAAGUCGAGCGCCCGUAGCAAUACGGGAGCGGCAGACGGGAUAGUAACACGUGGGAACGCGCCCUUCGGUUCGGAAUAACUCAGGGAAACUUGAGCUAAUACCGAAUACGCCCUUACGGGGAAAGAUUUAUUGCCGAAGGAACGGCCCGCGUCCGAUUAGCUAGUUGGUGAGGUAAUGGCUCACCAAGGCUACGAUCGGUAGCUGGUCUGAGAGGAUGACCAGCAUCACUGGGACUGAGACACGGCCCAGACUCCUACGGGAGGCAGCAGUGGGGAAUAUUGGACAAUGGGCGCAAGCCUGAUCCAGCCAUGCCGCGUGGAUGAUGAAGGCCUUAGGAUUGUAAAGUCCUUUUAACGGGGAAGAUAAUGACGGUACCCGUAGAAUAAGCCCCGGCUAACUUCGCGCCAGCAGCCGC